UUUUUGGAGAGUUUGAUCCUGGCUCAGGAUAAACGCUGGCGGCGUGCCUUAUGCAUGCAAGUCGUACGAGUUC
rnacentral:rRNA from 1 species